GAUGAACGCUGGCGGCGUGCCUAAUACAUGCAAGUCGAGCGAACGGACGAGAAGCUUGCUUCUCUGAUGUUAGCGGCGGACGGGUGAGUAACACGUGGAUAACCUACCUAUAAGACUGGGAUAACUUCGGGAAACCGGAGCUAAUACCGGAUGAUAUUUUGAACCGCAUGGUUCAAAAGUGAAAGACGGUCUUGCUGUCACUUAUAGAUGGAUCCGCGCUGCAUUAGCUAGUUGGUAAGGUAACGGCUUACCAAGGCAACGAUGCAUAGCCGACCUGAGAGGGUGAUCGGCCACACUGGAACUGAGACACGGUCCAGACUCCUACGGGAGGCAGCAGUAGGGAAUCUUCCGCACUGGGCGCAAGCCUGACGGAGCAACGCCGCGUGAGUGAUGAAGGUCUUCGGAUCGUAAAACUCUGUUAUUAGGGAAGAACAUAUGUGUAAGUAACUGUGCACAUCUUGACGGUACCUAAUCAGAAAGCCACGGCUAACUACGUG
rnacentral:rRNA from 1 species